CCUACGGGUGGCAGCAGUGAGGAAUAUUGGUCAAUGGCCGGAAGGCUGAACCAGCCAUGCCGCGUGAAGGUCAGUGCCCUAUGGGCGUUAAACUUCUUUUGUGCGGGAGCAAUAAUUGUCACGUGUGGCCCGACGAGAUUACCGUACGAAUAAGCAUCGGCUAACUCUGUGCCAGCAGCCGCGGUAAUACGGGGGAGGCAAGCGUUAUCCGGAUUUGUUGGGUUUAAAGGGUGCGUAGGCUGUGUGGUAAGUCAGCGGGGAAAUGCCCCGGCUCUAGGGCGUGAAGUGCCAUUGAUACUGGUUAGCUGGAAUGCGGAUGCGGUGGGAAGAAUGUGAGGUGUAGCGGUGAAAUGCAUAGAGAUGA
rnacentral:rRNA from 1 species